UACGUAGGGUGCGAGCGUUGUCCGGAAUUAUUGGGCGUAAAGGGCUCGUAGGCGGUUUGUCGCGUCGGGAGUGAAAUCCACUGGCUUAACUGGUGGCUUGCUUUCGAUACGGGCAGACUGGAGGUAUGCAGGGGAGAACGGAAUUCCUGGUGUAGCGGUGAAAUGCGCAGAUAUCGGGAAGAACACCCGUGGCGAAGGCGGUUCUCUGGGACGGUACUGACGCUGAGACGCGAAAGCGUGGGGAGCGAACAGG
rnacentral:rRNA from 1 species